GUUUUCUGCUACUUUGCGAUGCUUCUGUAUGGAUUCAAAACAGAAAUAUCUCAGCCUGGAUGCUAAUGGAUGGAGGUGUCACAUCACAACUUGGGUUAUAGAUGUUUGAUUUUUCUGUCACGCAAUAAGUGCAGGAUCAAGUUCCCGAUUCAGAUCGUUGCUUUGUUGGAGUACAGAACUCACUGCAGUAUUAUUCAAUCUCUUGUUGUACGUUAUGGGAAUAAUCAUCACAAGACCGAAGACUGGGAGAACACCAAAGUCUAUUGAUGCUGGCGAGGAACUUACUCGGGAAAAGGUCUUGUGGCCCCAUGACAAGAAGGACAGUAGUAAAAAAUCCAGGGACAAUAGCAGUAAGGGAAGCAAGUCCAGGGAUGAGAUAUCUACCAAAGCCAAGGAAGAGAAGGAUGGUAAAUAAAGGAUGCAACUCCUAAAGCUAGAAGUAAGCUGAAAGAAACUCCCCCUUAUGACCAGUUUUAGAGUUAGCAUAUAAGUUUGUUUGCUUUGUCAUUUUCACUUCGUUUUGGAUGGAACUACUAGAUAGUAUUUGUUACGACACUUAUUAGAAUAAAAACUUGAAGAAAAAA